GGGUGAGUAAUGCCUAGGAAUCUGCCUGGUAGUGGGGGAUAACUCGGGGAAACUCGAGCUAAUACCGCAUACGUCCUACGGGAGAAAGCGGGGGAUCUUCGGACCUCGCGCUACCAGAUGAGCCUAGGUCGGAUUAGCUAGUUGGUGAGGUAAAGGCUCACCAAGGCGACGAUCCGUAGCUGGUCUGAGAGGAUGAUCAGCCACACUGGAACUGAGACACGGUCCAGACUCCUACGGGAGGCAGCAGUGGGGAAUAUUGGACAAUGGGCGAAGCCUGAUCCAGCCAUGCCGCGUGUGUGAAGAAGGUCUUCGGAUUGUAAGCACUUUAAGUUGGGAGGAAGGGCAGUAAGCUAAUACCUUGCUGUUUUGACGUACCGACAGAUAAGCACCGGCUAACUUCGUGCAGCAGCGCGGUAUACGAAGGUGCAGCGUUAUCGAUUACUGGCGUAAAGCGCGCGUAGGUGGUU
rnacentral:rRNA from 1 species